GAUGAACGCUAGCGGCAGGCCUAAUACAUGCAAGCCGAACGGCAAGUUUGAUAGCAAUAUUGGACCUAGAGUGGCGCAAGGGUGCGUAACACGUAUGCAACCUGCCCGCGACAGGAGGAUAGCUCCCCGAAAGGGGAAUUAACCCUCCAUAACACCAUGAGAAGGCAUCUGAUUAUGGUUAAACCGCAAGGGGUCGCGGAUGGGCAUGCGGUUGAUUAGCUAGUUGGCGGGGUAAAGGCCCACCAAGGCGGUGAUCAAUAGGGGUUCUGAGAGGAAGGUCCCCCACACUGGCACUGGGAUACGGGCCAGACUCCUACGGGAGGCAGCAGUAGGGAAUAUUAGACAAUGGUUGCAAGACUGAUCCAGCCAUGCCGCGUGCAGGAAGAAGGCCUUCUGGGUCGUAAACUGCUUUUUCCUGUGGAUAAAAUACCCGUGCGCGGGGAAUUGAAGGUAACAGGGGAAUAAGCCACGGCUAACUACGUG
rnacentral:rRNA from 1 species